rnacentral:lncRNA from 1 species
GGAUUGGGAUAUUCCGACUCCUUAAGGGCCUGGCGCACAUAAGGUGUGACCUUUUCAUUCCCGUUGUUAUGGAGGGCCACAUCUGCCAGAGCCUGGAGUCUGCGAAGGCCGGGACCCGGUUCCCCGGCCCACAGUGGGGGUGUGCAAACCCGAGAGAACUGGUCGCUGAAACCUCUACAACUUAGUUGACCGUAACUGCCAGAGCCCUGCCCUGAAUUCCUGUCCUUACUCCCUCUUUAAGAUUGCGUACCCACUGCAGAGUGCUGAAGACGGGGUAGCCACGAGGUUGCAAAUUCGUGAAGAAUCAGCAUCAUGUUUGGCAGCUGAGUAUUGGAGCCAGGAGCCUGCCAUGAGGUUUUGAGAACAGAGUGCUGUUUUAGAGCUGGCAGCAGCAUCUCAGCCCAAGAGAAGGUUAUAUUCCCAGAGGAUGUCAGUCCCAAGGACCAGUAGCUGCCAUCAGUUUGGAUUCUGAAAACUAACUGGCAUCAACACUGGGUGUAGAAACAUGCUUGCCUUAUGUAUCAGAGGACAUGCUCAGCAGAUCCAAGAGAUAUAUUUGGCAACUUUUUCUAGAAAAGGCACAUUGGGUAUCAUUCAUUACAUUCUUGAGUUUUUUUGGGUUUUUUUUUUUUUUUUUGAGACAGUCUUGCUGUAUUGCCCAGGCUGGAGUGUGGUGGCACAAUCACAGCUCAUUGCAUCCUCAAUCACCCAGGCCUAAGCAAUCCUCCCACCUUGUAGCUGGGACUACAGCUCACAGCACACCUGGCUAAAAUUUUUUUUUUGUUGAGACGGAUUCUCUAUGUUGCCCAGGCUGGUCUCAGGCUCCUGGGCUCAGAUGGUCCUCCUGCCUCAGCUUCCAAAGGCACAGGCCAAGUUGUAGCUUUGUCCCUUGCCAUCAUGCCCAACAAGAGGUUCUAUACCUUUUAAUGAAUUGACUUUCAUAAAUUGGUUAUGUUGGUGGGCAAAGUUCUUUAAGCUGGAAAUUGUAAAUUCCUCCUGAAAUGUUUUUUCAUGCAGUUACCAUGAACUAAUACUACAAUAAAGGAUGGUCUUGGGUGUCAAUUCUUGAAAA